rnacentral:rRNA from 1 species
ACUCAAAUGAAUUGACGGGGGCCCGCACAAGCAGCGGAGCGUGUGGUUUAAUUCGACGCAACGCGCAACACCUUACCAGGGUUUGACAUCCCCGGAACCUGCCUGAAAGGGCGGGGUGCCUUCGGGAGCCGGGAGACAGGUGCUGCAUGGCUGUCGUCAGCUCGUGUCGUGAGAUGUUGGGUUAAGUCCCGCAACGAGCGCAACCCCCGUGGCUAGUUACGAGGUGUGUCUAGCCAGACUGCCGGAACCAAACCGGAGGAAGGUGGGGAUGAUGUCAAGUCAGCAUGGCCCUUACAUCCUGGGCGACACACACGCUACAAUGGCCGGGACAAUGGGCAGCCAAGCGGUAACGCGGAGCCAAUCCCCCAAACCCGGUCUCAGUUCAGAUCGUGGGCUGCAACUCGCCCACGUGAAGGCGGAGUUGCUAGUAACCGCCGGUCAGCAUUACGGCGGUGAAUAUGUUCCCGGGCCUUGUACACACCGCCCGU